rnacentral:rRNA from 1 species
CAGCCGCCGCGGUAAUACCGGCGGCCCGAGUGGCGGCCACUAUUAUUGGGCUUAAAGCGUCCGUAGCCGGGUUGGUUAGUCUCCCGGGAAAUCUGGCCGCUUAACGGUCAGAAUUCCGGGAGAUACUGCCAGCCUAGGGACCGGGAGAGGCCGAGGGUAUUCCCGGAGUAGGGGUGAAAUCCUAUAAUCCCGGGAGGACCACCUGUGGCGAAGGCGCUCGGCUGGAACGGGUCCGACGGUGAGGGACGAAGGCCAGGGGAGCAAACCGGAUUAGAUACCCGGGUAGUCCUGGCUGUAAACGAUGCGGACUUUGUGUCGGACAAGCUAUGAGCUUGUCCGGUGCCGGAGGGAAACCGUUAAGUCCGCCGCCUGGGGAGUACGGCCGCAAGGCUGAAACUUAAAGGAAUUGGCGGA